CCGUACUUUUUAUUAAGACUGCUCGUGAGUGUUGGUAUACAAUGCUCUCUACGUCGUAUACAAGGUGUGUUGCACUUAUAAGAACGUAUAUACUAUUACAUAAAGGCGUGGGACUAGAAGUGACACACACACACACACACACACACACACACACACACACGAUAGAAAACAAGGAAUACAAGAUACAAAUGCUAUACCUCGCUAACCUUACGAGCUAUACACUGGAGGAGGAAGAGCUAGGAAGAGGAGGAGGAGGAGGAGGGGAAUGCUGUGGGUUGGUGGGCCAUUGUGAUAUGUGCUGGGAAGAGAAGGAAAAGGAGACGAUCGGAGGAGGAGGAGGAGAUGGACGAGAGGUGAAAUAAAGAAAGAUGUCGAAGAUAGGUAUGUGCUAGAAAGAGGAGGAGAAAAACGUGGUAAUAAAGAAGAGAAGAAAGAUGAAAAUGAGGUAUGAGCGGGAAAGAGGAAGAGGAGGAGAAGGCAAAUGAGGAGACAUAAUUGAAUCGAAUUGAAAUAUUUAUUGUUGUAAAAUACAACAAGAUGAAGAUGAGGUGGAGUAGGAUAUGGAGGCAAAAAGGAAACAGACUGCUUGGGGGGGGGGGGGGGGGGGGGGUAAAACUUGCUAUACUGGGGUGUUUCAAAGUGUUUCAUAUUGUGUUUCAGACCACAUGGAAUCAGGGUAGACUUGUGUUGCUGGUUUCUGCAUGAUAUCAAAGAGUCAAUCACACUACACAGGCUGGGCGGUAACAGUGGGACACGGAGGCACGGAAUGUUUCAAAUGUUUCAAAAAGUUUCAGUCUAUCCUAGAAAAUGAAAAUGGGAGGAUAUCACCGAAUUCACUGAGUUUUAAGAGGUCAGUAAAGUCACGUGGUGUUUCAAAAAGUUUCACUGCGUUUUGGGAUGUUAGUAAAUGUUUCAAGUGUAAAAUGUCACGGGUUGUUUCAAUUAUAUGUUUCACUGGAGGAUAUCACCGAAUUCACUGAGUUUUAAGAGGUCAAUAAAUGAUUCAGUGUUUAAAGUCACGUGGUGUUUCAAAGAGUUUCACUGCGAGAGUAUCACCGAUUUCACUGCGUUCUGGGAUAUUAAUGUUUCAGUGUAAAAUGUCACGGCCUGUUUCAGUUAUGUUUCACUGGGAAAGUAUCGCCUAUUUCUUUCGCUGGGUUUCAAGGGAUCAGUGAAUGUUUUAGUGUUUCAAAUAUGAGUUUCACUGGGAGAGUAUCACUUAUUUCACUGGGUUUUAAGAGGUAUAUAGUUUUAAUGUAAAUAGCCACGUGGUUUUUCAUAAAGUAGUUUCACUGGGAGAGUUUCACCGGACUCAUUAAUGUUUCAGUGUAAGAGCUAAGGGGUGUUUCAUAUAUUAGUUUCACCUAUUUCACUGGGUUGUAAGAGGUUUAAAGAAGUUUCAGUGUAUAUAGCCACGCGGUUUUUCAUAGUUUAACUGGGAGAGUUUCAUUGGACUCAUUAAUAAGUGUUUCAAGGUAAAAAGCUAUGGGGUGUUUAAGAUAUCAGUUUCACCUAUUUCACUGGGUUGUAAGAAGUUUAUAGAAGUUUCAGUGUAUAAAGCCACGUGGAGUUUCAUAUAAUAGUUUCACCAAUUUCACUGCCUUCUAUAGGUGAUCAAUUAAUGUUUCCGCCAGUGUUUAACGUCAUGGAGUAUUUCAAGACAUAGGGCCGGAUUCUUAAACAUUUCUGCCCCCAAACUCACAUAUUUGUCAAGGCUUUCGUAGGAGUUAUGAGCAUUUUCAGGGGUAGUUGAAUGACCCUGGUGCUAGUUCAACUCUUCCUCUGUACCGUGAAUCAAAGAAACAACUCCUUAGAACCCGAUUGAUCUCCUUUUUGGCCUUUGGAAAUAGUUGAUGUGAAAGGUGGAAGCGUUCAAGAAUACCGACGAUAGUUUCAGCCACACUAAAGAGCUCAAGACCCGUAUUCUCAAACCUCUGGGCGCCCAAUUACACAUAUUUGACAAGGCUUUCGCAGGCGUUUCGGGCAUUUUCAGGUGUAGUUUAAUGGCCCUGGUGGUUGUUUAACUCUUCUUCUGUACCAUGAAUGUGAAAAAAAACUCAUGAAAGCCCGAUUAAUUUCCAUUUUGACCUUUGAAAAUAGUUGAUGUGCGAGGUGGAAGCGUCUGAGAAUACCGCCCCAGGCAUGUCUUGGUAUACGAUAAAAGAGGUUCUUCAAAAUGAUUCACCCACACGCCGAGUCGAGCAGCGUGGCGCACUGCUUCGGAGCGCUCGAGACAGGCGCGGCAGGAGUCACCUGGGCCCCGGAGAGACGGGAGGGGGGGGGGGGGGGAAAUGGACGGGAGGAUUGACGGUUUGGAUAAUAUUAUAAAGUAGAAUAAAUAUUGCCUUACUUAUGGACUAGAAAAGUGAUAUUGGACUCUCUCUCUCUCUCUCUCUCUCUCUCUCUCUCUCUCUCUCUCUCUCU